AGCGAACGCUGGCGGCAGGCCUAACACAUGCAAGUCGAACGGUCCUUCGGGAUAGUGGCGGACGGGUGAGUAACACGUGGGAACGUACCCUUAGGUUCGGAACAACACAGGGAAACUUGUGCUAAUACCGGAUAAGCCCUUCGGGGGAAAGAUUUAUCGCCUUUGGAGCGGCCCGCGUCUGAUUAGCUUGUUGGUGAGGUAAUGGCUCACCAAGGCGACGAUCAGUAACUGGUCUGAGAGGAUGGCCAGCCACACUGGGAAGGAGACACGGCCAAGACUCCUACGGGAGGCAGCAGUGGGGAAUCUUGCGCAAUGGGCGAAAGCCUGACGCAGCCAUGCCGCGUGGAUGAUGAAGGUCUUAGGAUUGUAAAAUCCUUUCACCGGGGACGAUAAUGACGGUACCCGGAGAAGAAGCCCCGGCUAACUUCGUGCCAGCCGCCGCGGUAA
rnacentral:rRNA from 1 species